GGAGGGGCGAUGGGCGCGGCUGAGCGCCGCCUCGGUGGGGCGCGGGGCUGAGGCGAGCGAGGUGGUGGACGGUUCUCUCGGCCCGGCGGCUCUCACUGGAAGACUUAAGACAUAGAAUUCCUUACAGGGACAUUUGUACUCCACAGCUUCUUUAGGAUGUUACAAUAUCCAUGUUGGAUUUCAAGGAACAGGAAAAUCUUCACACUAUAUUGUCACUACAAGACUAAAAACGUACUAAGCAAUCAAGUGUUAAGUAAAAUCCUGAAGGCCAAAAGAUGCAAGCCAUGAAACUUCAGCACACCGUUAUUCAACAAAGCGCUCGAGUUUUUCAUUGAGACUUGUGUGUGGACUUAACUGUUAGAGCUUACAACGCCUUGCAGGUAGCAGCAAAAGCUUAAAAUAAUGUUUUGCCCCACCGCCUAGCAGUGAGAUAGAAAGCACUGCUAUGCAACGCAAUGGUGGGAGAGUUUGGAAAUUGUUCCAGUGAGGAUGUCAGAGAAGUUGUUGAGAAAGAAUGGCUGAUGAAGAGCUGCCAAGCUGGAAUAUGAAAUAGCUUUUUAUAUUCCUUAGAAAGGUAACUGCUGCCUAACGCAUUGACCUUGGGCUGGAUUCCAGGUGUGAAAGGGUUUUGCUACGUCUUCUUCUCAACAUAAAGAGAAGUGACAGACGCAGAGGUAGCCAGGGAGCUGAGCAUGCACACAAGGGCAGUAGCUAUGACCUUGCCAUCUUUUGUGAAGAGGAGAAGACCCCAGCUAUGCAGGAAGGGCUGCUGGUCUUUGGUACUUAAUACACGGGUUAGAUGGAGCCCAGUGAUACCCCCAAAGCUGCUUUUCUUCCACUCUCAGGCAUUUGAGUUGGCAAGCUCAGCCUUUUUUACUUGUUGCAUUAAAAAUAAGCAAUCAAACUAUCUUAUCAACUUUUCCCUGUGAUCUUAUUCCUCGUGGUCUCCACUGAAUCAGACAUCAAUAAGGUGAGUUUUGCUCAGACUAGAAAGAGAUUUGUCUGCAAGCGCAGUUUAUGAUAAUUAGGGGAAAAACAAGUUGGACAGGAUGCUGAAGAGAAAAUUGAGGCCUGGUAAUACGUGCAAACAGGGAGAGCUGUUGUUGUUUUUCAUCUUAGUGUUUUGUUUUUCAGCAGCAGAAGCUGUUGCGUUUCGCUUCCUCCAAGCAGGAGCUAAUAAUGAGCUACCAAUAACGAUCUACCGUGUGGACUAAUAAGGAGGCUGUCUUGCUAUUUUGUCAAAGCAUUUUUUUUUUCCUGAAAAAAGACCCUUGCAUAUAAUGAAGUGCUGUAAGUGGAAUGCUGCUUGGUGUCUGGGGUGCUUGGUUGCUCCUCCUUUUUCUAAGACAGGUAGAAAAGUAUGCUGGAAUUGUAAAAAUGAGUGAUCAUUUUACAGUAGAAGCGAAAAACCUGACAUCGAUGUGCAAGCAAGAUACACUAAGUUAUACACUAAGUCUGGAAUGCUUUUCCCUUGAGUCCUCUCUAUCCUGGGAGAAGUGCUAUAUCAAGGCAAUCUCCAUUCACGCUUGUACUGCUGGACCAUCACAAAGCAGCUGAAGCAAACUGGCAAAACUCCCUUCAGAGGUUGUCGACCACAUGGCUGCACAGGACCCUGCAAUGCUGUGCUUAAAAAAGCAAUCAAAUUCAAGUCAGCUUGCUUGUUGUGGGUAUUUUCUGGGAACUGUUUAUUACCAUGCCACAUCUGCUGACCAAUUUUUGCAUAAUAAAC
ensembl:lncRNA